rnacentral:rRNA from 1 species
UACAGAGGGUGCAAACGUUGCUCGGAAUCAUUGGGCGUAAAGCGCACGUAGGCGCCUAGCAAGUAGGGAGUGAAAGCCCUCGGCUUAACCGAGGAAGUGCUUUCUAAACUACUAGGCUUGAAUACUGGAGAGGGUCGCGGGAAUUCCCGGUGUAGAGGUGAAAUUCGUAGAUAUCGGGAGGAACACCAGUGGCGAAGGCGGCGACCUGGACAGAUAUUGACGCUGAGGUGCCGAAAGCGUGGGGAGCAAACAGG